CUUAUUACUUCCGGCCAGUUUGUCAGUUGAAAUACAAUAUCGAGAAAGGCAGAUUUGAAGUGUUUACUGAUUUAUGUUGCUGUGAUGGCCUUAAUUUCCAUCAUUUAGACGAACAGAAUUAUCAGGAAAUAUGAGAUUUCAAGUGACAUUAGUUUUGGCAAUUUCAUUUUUUGGAUUUACAUGUUUACACGAAAUUGUUGAUGCAGCUUCCACCCCACUAAAGACACCUCAACCAAAAGCUGACCAGCAGGACCAUGAUGCAAUACAUGAUAUUGAACUUCUUUUGCAAAACAGGUAACACAUAAAAAUGAAAGAAGAAAUGAUUGGAACUGCAGCUAAGUAAACAAAUGUCAGAGAUUAUUGCCAGACAAGGCUUGAAGGGUAUUGGGUCCAUUUGCCCUAAUAACAUGUUUGCCCGGGGUCCGUUCACCCUGAGUUCGUUCGCCUAUAUAGUCCGUUCGCCCUGCUAAAAAAUAUUAAUAUUCAGGCAGGGCUUUCCAUUGAAACCGGUAGCUGGUGGAAAUCCGCCGUUUACGGUGUCUUCAAGUGCUGGCUACUUCACUGACAAAAAUAUAAAUUCAAAAAGAAAAAAAAUUCUUUUUCAAAUGUUUACAGGCAGCCGAGAGACGUAUUGUCGCAAAGUCGCGGUCACGAUAAAGUGGUUCUCAUUGGGCUCUAAGCGUGACGCGGGAUUGCAUAUUUUUUGUAAGCGUGACAUGUGAAAGUCAAAUUAUUGUGUCGGGAAAACGGGAAAUGAGGUCUA
rnacentral:lncRNA from 1 species